rnacentral:sRNA from 1 species
ACUGAAGUACAUGCUAUUGUCAGUGAGAGGCCCAUAUUGAAAAUGAAUUUUCCUGGCCACGUCAUCUUUUUGAUGUCUUAACCCGGGAUGUAACAAGGAUGAAUAAAGUAAUCAAAGGCCUGAAGGCAAAUGAACAAAAAACCAUCUUGAUUUGUUUUUCAAAUUUUGAUAUCAGCUAACCUUUCCAAGAUGACGAAACCCAUUUCACCACAGCUUUACAAAUCUUGAGGAUUCCCAACCAGCAUCCAAUAGUUGGCAUCCUUAAGAAAUCUCUGCCAUUCUGUAGUUGCGAACCUCUUUACAUUCCUUAAUCACAUAACAACUUGUGUGAAAAGCCUUCAGUUGCUGGGGAACUGUCACCGAUCUCACACAACUACACCAUAACCAAUAAUCAUCAAAUGGCUUCCAUUGCCAAUCAAACAGCAGUAACUGCACUGAUCAGCACUUCAAAUCCACUCAUAAAUGUGACCAAAGGACUAUGUCACUAUUAAUCUUAAUGUAUUUAACCAUAAAACCUUAAUGCAGUGUACAGCCAACCCCCUUUUCUUUCAGUUUCCAAGUUGAACUUUUCACACUAUAAAAUUUACAAUUUGAUCAAGUCGAUAUGCGACUUUCUCCAAUCUCCUGGAAUAAUACAUUACUGACAGAUGGACAAUUUAUUUGAGCUUGAAAAAUUGUUUCUGUAUGAAAACAUGGCUCAUAAAGC